rnacentral:sRNA from 1 species
CUUGAACUCCUUAGCUGAAGUGCAAAACUAGGUUUCCAGCAUCGGUGGUGCAAAGGCUUGGUGGCUGAGAGCUCAUGUCUUGAUCUGAAACUUGGAGAAAUCCCAAGCCUAUUCCUCUGCGUUACUUUGAUGGCAUUUACUUUUGAUACUCCGGAUGGGAAGUUGGCUUCAAGUUUCUUUUCAGCAAAUCUUGUUUCUGUCCAGAGAGCGAGAGAGUUCUGUCAGUCACUAACCUACAGUGACAGUCACAGCAAGGCUGACAUAGAAAGAGCAUCCUUCUCCCUGCCU